GCUCAACCGGGGAGGGUCAUUGGAAACUGGGGAACUCGAGUGCAGAAGAGGAGAGUGGAAUUCCACGUGUAGCGGUGAAAUGCGUAGAGAUGUGGAGGAACACCAGUGGCGAAGGCGACUCUCUGGUCUGUAACUGACGCUGAGGAGCGAAAGCGUGGGGAGCGAACAGGAUUAGAUACCCUGGUAGUCCACGCCGUAAACGAUGAGUGCUAAGUGUUAGGGGGUUUCCGCCCCUUAGUGCUGCAGCUAACGCAUUAAGCACUCCGCCUGGGGAGUACGGUCGCAAGACUGAAACUCAAAGGAAUUGACGGGGGCCCGCACAAGCGGUGGAGCAUGUGGUUUAAUUCGAAGCAACGCGAAGAACCUUACCAGGUCUUGACAUCCUCUGACAAUCCUAGAGAUAGGACGUCCCCUUCGGGGGCAGAGUGACAGGUGGUGCAUGGUUGUCGUCAGCUCGUGUCGUGAGAUGUUGGGUUAAGUCCCGCAACGAGCGCAACCCUUGAUCUUAGUUGCCAGCAUUCAGUUGGGCACUCUAAGGUGACUGCCGGUGACAAACCGGAGGAAGGUGGAGAUGACGUCAAAUCAUCAUGCCCCUUAUGACCUGGGCUACACACGUGCUACAAUGGACAGAACAAAG
rnacentral:rRNA from 1 species